GACGAACGCUGGCGGCGUGCUUAACACAUGCAAGUCGAACGGAAAGGCCCUGCUCUUGUGGGGUGCUCGAGUGGCGAACGGGUGAGUAACACGUGAGUAACCUGCCCUUGACUUUGGGAUAACUUCAGGAAACUGGGGCUAAUACCGGAUAGGAGCUCCUGCUGCAUGGUGGGGGUUGGAAAGGUUCGGCGGUUGGGGAUGGACUCGCGGCUUAUCAGCUGGUUGGUGGGGUAGUGGCUUACCAAGGCUUUGACGGGUAGCCGGCCUGAGAGGGUGACCGGCCACAUUGGGACUGAGAUACGGCCCAGACUCCUACGGGAGGCAGCAGUGGGGAAUAUUGCACAAUGGGCGGAAGCCUGAUGCAGCAACGCCGCGUGCGGGAUGACGGCCUUCGGGUUGUAAACCGCUUUCGCCUGUGACGAAGCGUGAGUGACGGUAAUGGGUAAAGAAGCACCGGCUAACUACGUG
rnacentral:rRNA from 1 species